ACCAUCUUGAUAGUUGCCUGAUAUUACUUUUUCACCAUCUUUAAAGAAAUUAACUCUGUAAUCUCCACCUUCGUAGGUACACCCAGCCUUCUCAAGCAUACCGUAUGAUAUCAAAUUUCUGCUCAUCUGCGGCAUGUAUCUGACAUCAAUGAAGCAAGCCGUUUUACCAUCUUUGUUUGCUCUUGGCUUGGACUGUGACCGUGGACCUCGAGACUUUGACCUGCCUCUACCAGACUGACCAUUCCCAUUUCCUCGAUCAUUCCUUCGACUAGAUCUUCCCCGCGACUCAACAUACAACCCUUCAUUCGACUUACCAGUCUUCCCCACAAGACCCUUCUGUUUCAGCUCUAUCUCCUUGGCAUAUGCUGAAGAGACGACUUCUCUCACUGUGAGUGUGUCUCUUCCUGUUCCAUACUUCAGUGUAUGGACUAGAGCCUCAUAUUGCGGUGGCAAUCCUGAUCAAGAACUGGAUCAGCACCUUCUUCCAGUUUCUCUGACGUCUUGAAGAGAGUAGCUCCUUCCUCAAGAACUGAACCAAGUCCCUGUAUCUCAAGCUGGCCAAGGAGCUUAUACUUCCACAUCCCAAAGUCUCCCUUUCCGUCAAACUUAUCCAUCUGAAACCGACCCCGCGUAGGAUCCAUCUCAACCUUAUCCUUAUCCUUCUCCAUACGAUCCCUUCCUCAAUCAACAGAUCCACCUGAAUCAAGAAGCCUCAAGCAAGCAAACCACAGCUCUGAUACCACUUGUUGGUGAUCAAAGCGAAAAGUAAAUGCACAACAAGAUUGUUCACCCGGACUUCGUUUCCUACUGUCCGGGGAGGGAAUCGGAAUCCCUCAAGCUUCACUAUAAUCAGAAUCAAGUUCCGGUAACAAUGAUACAACUCGAUCUACGUCACAAUGGAGAAGACGAGUUGAUGUUACCUCCGAAAUACACCCCAGGUAAUCGGAUCCUGCUGUGGCGACGUCACCGGAGACACUCCGACUCCGUUCCCGAUCGAUCGCCUCAGAUCACCGUGAAGAAGACGUAGUGGCCGUUACGGUUGUUAUAACAACCUGACUUUGCCAUUUGCGUGUAUGGGCUUAAGUGAAGCGAAGCCCAUCUUGACACUUUCUCUUCUCCGCAAGUCUGAAGUCGAAACCCACAACGAGGAGGCCCAACUUACGAAUGCUGAAGACCAAAGCCCACAAUAGAUUUCUACGAUUCUUUCAAAAUGUGACAUUAUAGUUAUUGGAAAUUUAUUUGAUUAUUUAAUAAUAACGAAAAGCAGGAAAAAGGUGAGACUGAACUGGCUGACGUGAGAAAGGAAUAUUUACUGUUUAUUCAUCAGGCUUUCUCAGUGUAAAAGUUAUCCUCACUUGGAUUUACGUGCUA